rnacentral:rRNA from 1 species
AUUGAACGCUAGCGGGAUGCCUUACACAUGCAAGUCGAACGGAGUGGCGAACGGGUGAGUAAUGUAUCGGAACGUGCCCAGUAGCGGGGGAUAACUAUGCGAAAGCGUAGCUAAUACCGCAUACUCUUGGAGCGGCCGAAAUCGGAUUAGCUCGUUGGGUGGGUAACGGCCCACCAAGGCGACGAUCCGUACAUGGUUUGAUAGGACGACCAGCCAAACUGGGACUGAGACACGGCCCAGACGCCUCAGGGAGUCAGCAGUGGGGAAUUUUGGACAAUGGGGGAAACCCUGAUCCAGCCAUCCCGCGUGUGCGAUGAAGGCCUUCGGGUUGUAAAGCACUUUUGGCAGGAAAGCGGGACCUGCAGAAUAAGCACCGGCUAACUACGUGCCAGCAGCCGCGGUAAUAC